rnacentral:misc_RNA from 1 species
ACCGGCAUCGUCUCCGUUGCCUUGCCCUUUCUCACCUACUUUGCCUUGCGCUCUUCCGCACAAUGUCUCUGUUCUCCCUCACCGUGUCCACGCCGCCACAGCACACACGUUGAGCCCCGCCCCGCCCGCCCCGUCAGAGACCCAUCGCACGCCGCGAAGCAGCCGCGCACACGCGUGGCGGCAAUGCGCCAGCUCAGGCAUGCGGGCAGCGUCUGCGCCCCAAACACCCCCCGCCCCCCCCCCCCUCGCAGGCUGCCUCACCGUCGCCCCCAGCCAUGCUGACCGCCACGCGAUGCAUCGCCCGAGGUCGCUCAGGCUUCCCUACACCAGCAGGCAGUGCGAGGGCCGGGUGGGACACGUUCGAGUCACGCUGACACUCCGCCCAGCAUACGGACGGCACAGGCGUGCGCACAGUGGCGGAUCUCUCCCCAACGCAGCGCCAUCCAGCACCUCACCGCCGACAUCAUUAGCGAUAAGUCGCUCUGGCCCCCAUACGUCGUAGGCGCCUGACCCUGCCACCAUGAAGGGUGGCUCGGCGCCGGCAUGUAUAAGGGGACUGCCAGGCCUCUCCACCGAGUGGGUGCUGCUGGGCCUUGAUGCCGCGCACCGAGACGCCGCCCUCCCGUCAUCACAGUUUGAGAGAAAGGAGAGGAAAACAAAAAUAACUGCUUAUCGAGUCUGUUACUCACGUCUUCUCGCUUGAGGGCUUGUGCGUGUAUGCCGUGCGCGUUCUCUGUCUCAACCCCCUCUCCCCUGUCACCACGACGGCGACACAUGAGUGGGGCCGCCGACUUACAGUUUCUGCCAACGACUCCCUCUUUCCUCGCUAGGCGGCGUACAGGAAAAGCGGAGCAAGCGAUGUGAAUGCGCAGGAACGUGUGCGUACGAGUUGGGGGAGGGGGGAGGUAGAGGCUGAGGCGAUCGUUGCAUGGUGGAUGUUGCCCAUUCCGCACACGUCGUUUGUAUCUCAUCCUUUCACCUCUAGCAUC